AAUGGGAAGGGCAGGAGUCCCUUAGGAUAAUCAUAGCUGUUCCCACUACACUCUUCAAGGUCUUUUGUUCUUCCUUUCUCAUUAGAACAUGACAGCAGCUCUGAGGGGUCAGUGUUGGGAGCCAAUGAGAAAGCUGAAUUUAAGUGACUCACCGGGACCCUUGGGACUCUUCAGAUGGAGAACUUGGCUGUGAAGGGACCUAUCAAUUUGGGCUCCUUCCAGAACUGAAAACUGGUUACAAAUAUGAAACAGAUUUAACUACUGGACUUGAACUCCACAUAAGGAAAAAAAAAAAGAAGAAGAUCCUCAAAGAUCCUCAUCAAAGAAUAGAUGCAGUGUGACUGGCAGGGAUAUCAAAGAGGUGCACUAAAAUCUACGUCCUGUCCUUUUGUCCACCGUGCUUUCUCUACUGCAUUUGCCCUCAGUGACCCGAUUGCCUCCAUUGUAACUGAAGGUGGGGGUCCAGCUGCUUGCUGCUCAACAGCCAAUAAGGAGGCAAGGUUGGUGGAAAUGAAAGUUUGCUGUAUUUUGGAUGCUAGCAAUGGGUUUGGGGG
rnacentral:lncRNA from 1 species